rnacentral:rRNA from 1 species
GAACGGUAACAGGCGCAAGGUGCUGACGAGUGGCGAACGGGUGAGAUAUGCAUCGGAACGUGCCCAGUCGUGGGGGAUAACGCAGCGAAAGCUCGUAAAUACCGCAUACGAUCUAUGGAUGAAAGCGGGGGACCGUAAGGCCUCGCGCGAUUGGAGCGGCCGAUGUCAGAUUAGGUAGUUGGUGGGGUAAAGGCUCACCAAGCCGACGAUCUGUAGCUGGUCUGAGAGGACGACCAGCCACACUUGGACUUAGACACGGCCCAGACUCCUACGGGAGGCAGCAGUUGGGAAUUUUGGACAAUGGGGGCAACCCUGAUCCAGCAAUGCCGCGGUGCAGGAAGAAGGCCUUCGGG